UUGUCAACCCGGAUACGGUUUUAGAGCUUCAAUAGUUGUGCCAUGUUGUAUCGAGUGUUGUGUAUUUUGCUGGUGGCGAGUGUCGUGCUGUACUCGUGUGUCACAGCAGAGUGCUGUGUUUCAGACCCUGCUCUGUGCUAUGGUAGGGAGUGUAAUGACGAGUGUUGCGAGUGUCAGCCUGGAUCAUGUCUAGACAGAAGAUUUAAAUGUGACUGGAUUGAAUGUGCGGUGAUAGUUGGAGAAUGCACUGUGGAAUGCUGUUUCGGAAGCUGUCUAAUGGACCCAUAUUGUUUGACAUGUCUAGGCUCCCUGUAUGAAGACUGCUCAGAUUGCUUCUGGUAUCUCGACAAUGCUGACCGGAUGAAACUUCUCAAGCGCGUGGAGAGGGUAGAUCGGAACGAGAAUGAUACAGAAUGAUGAUUUGUUGGUUUCAGUGCUACCAGACAACACGUUAGAGAUUCCGUUUUAAAGACAGCAAUUCAGGAUUGGACACGUGCCAAAUAUCGAUUUAUCGACAGUGACCAUGUUAUUUAACAUUGUUAUUUAACAUUGUUAAAUAGUAUUGACGUUUUAACCAGUAGCUAAUAUUUGGGGUAAAUUAAAACUUACCCAACGUAAUUGCGUCUCUAUCAAUCUCCCAUUCGUCUGUUAGGUUGUCGAUAGCAGGUUUUGACUCCUGGAGAAAGUAAACAUCACAGUUCAAUAAGAUAAUUAUUACCGAAUUAUGUAAUUUCAACAAUUUGUGUACUAGGAUGGGAAA